GUUAUCUAGAUUUUUUUUCCUUAUGUUAUCUUCUAGAAGUUUGAAAAUUUUACAUUUCAUAUAUUGGUCUAAUAUCUACUUUGCAUUAACUUUUGUAAAAAGUAUAAGGUCUGUUACAUAUUCUUUUUUUUUUUGCAUGUGGAUGCCCACUUGUUCCAGAACCAUUUGUUAAAAAGACUCUCCUUUCUCCAUUGAAUUGCUUUUGCUCCUUUGUCAGAAAUCAGUUGGCUGCAUUUCAUUCUGUUUCUGGGUUCUCUGUUCUGUUUCACUGAUGUAUGUGUAUGUGUCUUCUGUUUUGCCUUCAAUUUAAAAAAUAUCUAAAUAUCUACUUGCUACCUCAAUUUGCUGAUGAAUUCUCAUUUGUAAACAGAAAAGCAUAAAUUAAAGCCUGAGUAUCUUUUGGGGUAGAUGUUGCAUUGAAUACAAUGAGCAGAAUGAGUUAUAAUCUUAAAGUGAAUAUAAAAAUUUGACCAUAGUGGUAACAGAUUUGUGCACUAGUGACAUCAAUGACAGAGUCCAUUGCAAUAUUGCUUCCUCCCAUAGGCUCAGCUCUGCUUCACACCAGGUAACUACCAGUCCCUUUUGUGCUUCAUUCAAGGAUUUCUGUGGGGCGGAAAGCAGAAAUAUCAUGAGCUCAGUGGAGAGAGAGAAGGCAGUUUUCCAGGCUGGGAGCAGUCAGAUCUCCAGUGGGUCCCAACACUGCUCUGUAGCAAUGCCUAGAAGGUGAUGGAAACAGGGUGAACAUGAGGAGUAUCAAGUCCAAAAUGAAGCUCUUCAAACCAUCUGGGAAGAGAAAACAGCAUGACAAGGAAAGGUGUAUUUGUCUGAUCCCAGUAAUCAAUAUAAACAUCAAUGAUAACCCCACCUAUUUUUUUAAAUGUAUGAUUUGGAUGAAACAAGAGAAAGAGACUGAUUGUUGCUGAGUCCCUGCUGCAGUCCUGACACAGCUCUCCUUAUUUUGUUGAUGCUCAUGAGGACCCUGAUGUCUGAGGAAGAAGGUUCCCGUCCAGCUCUGCCCCUGGUGUGUCACAUGCCGGCCUUGUCAACGCACACGAGAACCUGACAGGGUGAGUGUUAUAACCCAGUCAUAGAAAAGGAAACUGGCUCUAAAGUGUAUGGCAUCUUGCCCAAGUUCUGACACUUAGCAGAGGCCUGAGUUUAAAUACAGCCUCGUCUUGCUCUUCGACAGCCUCAGCACCACAUGCCCUGGGUGGCCCACGCAGUGAGUCACUGACAGCCCUCGUGGUUGGCCCGUGGCACAGCAUGGAGCGAAAUGGUCCAGUGACCUUUUCAGACACUCGGGCAAUGCGUGGUAUAGUGUAUGUGGUCACUCCCAGUGAGUCCUAUUGUUCAGUUUAAUAGAAUAUCUAAUUCUAUGUUUAUUCUGAAUAAAGGGAGAUUUCUUGUGGUUUUUAAGAAUAUGAAGCAUAUCUAUUUUGCCUACAAGUUGGAAGUUCCGAUACUGUAGGAAGCAUAAGUGCAGGUUAUAAUGAUGGGUUUUUUAUAAGACUGAAUUCACAUCAAACUGAAUCAGUAACUCCAGCUGUAUGAACAGGGUGAAACAUUAAACAUUUAAUGAAAACAAUUCCUUUCUUAGGUCACAGCAAGGACUAAAUAUGUCCAAUUAUCAUGCCCACUAAGAAGAUGUAUUGUAAUAUUUGCAGUUAAUCACUCAUUCACUUCAAAGGGUGUUUAUUAAUUGUCUGCUCUGGGCAUAACAUUAAUUGGAAGCAGUGUGUUCACAUGGAAACAAAACUUACCUGAGACUCUCAGUCACAACUUUCCAUGACCAGUACACGUUUCUAAUUUGAAAUACAUAUCUAAGGCUUCAAAUGCAUAAAUAGGUAUCCCAAUGUAGAACUAAGUCAAUAGUUGCUUUGAAUUAAUUGUUUAAAUUAACCUGGGAAUCGGAAAGAUAUGUCUCCAUGAAACAAUAAAGGCUGUGUUAGAAUUAGUAAACUUUAGAAGAGCAUUUUAAUCCUAAUAUAUAAACAUACUACCUAGGCACACUGUUUAAAUACAUCUGCAACCUACUAUUUUUAGAUUUAAGAAAAUCAUUAAACCUUAAAUUUGGAAAAGAUUCCAGUGUUAGACCUCUAGACUAUGAAACUUGAAUGUUUUUCUAAACUCUUUGAGUUUUAUCCAGAAAUACAGAUUUUCCUGGCACUGACAACUGCAAGAAAUUUCACUUGGAGUCUCCACAUAGUCAACCAUGUGAUGUUAACAUCAGUGUAAUAGAUACUAUCACAAACA
rnacentral:lncRNA from 1 species